UCGUUUGAACUGCCAUGCCAGGGAACUCCUUGGAGCUUGCUUUGGUGUGCUCGGUCCCUGGGUGCGGUGGGCAGUAACAGGAGUACUGUCUAGUGGAUGGCUGCUCCACUUUUGCACCCUGCUCUAGGAGGAGGAGGUGGAUGUGGAGUAGGAGGUUGAGGAGGCAGUGACCGUGGCAGUGAUGACACAUUCGGAUGUCUGCCCUAUCAACUUUUGAUGUUACUAUCUGCACCUACCAUGGUGACCAUGGGUAAUCGGGAAUCAGGGUUCGAUUCCAGAGAUGGAGCCUGAGAAGCGUCUACCACAUCCAAGAAAAGCAGCAGGCGAGCAAAUUACCCACUCCCUAUGCGGGGAGGUAGUGACGA